rnacentral:rRNA from 1 species
GACGAACGCUGGCGGCGUGCCUAAUACAUGCAAGUUGAGCGCUGAAGGUUGGUACUUCUACCAACUGGAUGAGCAGCGAACGGGUGAGUAACGCGUGGGGAAUCUGCCUUUGAGCGGGGGACAACAUUUGGAAACGAAUGCUAAUACCGCAUAAAAACUUUAAACACAAGUUUUAAGUUUGAAAGAUGCAAUUGCAUCACUCAAAGAUGAUCCCGCGUUGUAUUAGCUAGUUGGUGAGGUAAAGGCUCACCAAGGCGAUGAUACAUAGCCGACCUGAGAGGGUGAUCGGCCACAUUGGGACUGAGACACGGCCCAAACUCCUACGGGAGGCAGCAGUAGGGAAUCUUCGGCAAUGGACGAAAGUCUGACCGAGCAACGCCGCGUGAGUGAAGAAGGUUUUCGGAUCGUAAAACUCUGUUGGUAGAGAAGAACGUUGGUGAGAGUGGAAAGCUCAUCAAGUGACGGUAACUACCCAGAAAGGGACGGCUAACUACGUG